rnacentral:rRNA from 1 species
GAUGAACGCUGGCGGCGUGCCUAAUACAUGCAAGUCGAGCGAACAGACGGGGAGCUUGCUCCUCUGACGUUAGCGGCGGACGGGUGAGUAACACGUGGAUAACCUACCUAUAAGACUGGGAUAACUUCGGGAAACCGGAGCUAAUACCGGAUAAUAUAUUGAACCGCAUGGUUCAAUAGUGAAAGACGGUUUUGCUGUCACUUAUAGAUGGAUCCGCGCCGCAUUAGCUAGUUGGUAAGGUAACGGCUUACCAAGGCAACGAUGCGUAGCCGACCUGAGAGGGUGAUCGGCCACACUGGAACUGAGACACGGUCCAGACUCCUACGGGAGGCAGCAGUAGGGAAUCUUCCGCAAUGGGCGAAAGCCUGACGGAGCAACGCCGCGUGAGUGAUGAAGGUCUUCGGAUCGUAAAACUCUGUUAUUAGGGAAGAACAAAUGUGUAAGUAACUAUGCACGUCUGGACGGUACCUAAUCAGAAAGCCACGGCGAACUACGU